CCGGCACGGGUGAGUAACACGUAUCCAACCUGCCGUCUACUCUUGGCCAGCCUUCUGAAAGGAAGAUUAAUCCAGGAUGGCAUCAUGAGUUCACAUGUCCGCAUGAUUAAAGGUAUUUUCCGGUAGACGAUGGGGAUGCGUUCCAUUAGAUAGUAGGCGGGGUAACGGCCCACCUAGUCAACGAUGGAUAGGGGUUCUGAGGGGAAGGUCCCCCACAUUGGAACUGAGACACGGUCCAA
rnacentral:rRNA from 1 species